CCAAUCUCAGGGUGUAUCAUGAAUGAUAUCAGUAGCAUUUGGUUUAAUGGAUUUUGGUAGGGACAAAUCAGCAGUUGCAAAUCUGUAUGUCUCUGGACUUAUCAUUUCCAUGCUCACCUGACUAUUUUAUCCAGUGUCCAUUGCCCUCUCUUACCUCUGAGGAUGAAAUAAUUUAAAAAGCGCUCUCCUUGUGCAUCACCUUUGCUGUCAUCUUGCUUCAUGAUUCUGCUCCUGCCAUGGUGAGUGAGCACCUUCGGAAGCAGCACCUGCCAGGAAACAACUGUUUUUGGAGAUCUCAAUGUGACACCGUGCAAAACAGAUGAGCUGAAGAAAGAUUGUCAUUUUAUCUGUGAGGACAAAUUCAAGGGAUCAUGAGCUGUGAUACACAGAUGCAUUAGUAUUGUGACUUCACUGCCAGCGUGUGCCCCCUAUUAAUGAGGCCCCAGAGCACUCCUUAUUUCCAGGGUUGGAGACAUCGUUCUGGCAGCUUCUAGUUGUGCAGAAGCAGGUAAGGUUACCCUGCAAAUCUGUACUUGCUUCAAAGCCCAACUGACUGAAACUGGCCCUCAGAACACUUAAAGAGCAAUUUCUGAGCUCUUCUUGGCCCCAGGAGGGGUGAUGAACAUCACAAUUCAUCUCUAAAAAUCGCAAUGGACUCCCGUGAAGAUGAAAUGAGGCUGAGAAAUUAAUUUUUGAUGAUCUCCAGACAAGCAACAGACACUCCUCGAAGUGCAUGUUUGUAUUUUGGGGCG